rnacentral:rRNA from 1 species
AUUGAACGCUGGCGGCGUGCCUAACACAUGCAAGUCGAGCGGCAGCGCGGGAGCAAUCCUGGUGGCGAGCGGCGGACGGGUGAGUAAUGCUUGGGAAUCUGCCUGUUAGUGGGGGACAACCCGGGGAAACUCGGGCUAAUACCGCAUACGCACUACGGUGGAAAGCCGGGGACCGCAAGGCCUGGCGCUAACAGAUGAGCCCAAGUCGGAUUAGCUAGUUGGUAGGGAACGGCCUACCAAGGCGACGAUCCGUAACUGGUCUGAGAGGACGACCAGUCACACCGGAACUGAGACACGGUCCGGACUCCUACGGGAGGCAGCAGUGGGGAAUAUUGGACAAUGGGGGAAACCCUGAUCCAGCGACGCCGCGUGGGUGAAGAAGGCCUGCGGGUUGUAAAGCCCUUUUCAGUGGGGAAGAAAAGCCUCGACCUAACACGUCGGGGUCCUUGACGUAACCCAUAGAAGAGCACCGGCUAACUCUGUGCCAGCAGCCGCCGUAAU